CAAUUUUUUCCUGAUUCAUUUAGAAGUAAAUUUGUGUCAGGUUAGAAAACAAAAUAAAACACUUUUCAUGUGUUCAACUGAGAACAUGUGGAAAUAUCAAUGUUUAGCAAGAGCUUAAAUCACAAGCAGGCCUCUCUCUUGGGAAAGGAACUCCAAAAAAAUGAGAUCUCAGAGAGCAGAGAUAAGCUUUGGUAGGGAUAAAUUCAUGCCGAAGGGUAAGUUUGCCGGGUGAGUCCUCUUUCCAGAGAAAUCGGAGAGACAUUUGGAAGAUACUUGUUAGAAUUAGGUCGUGGAAGAAAAAGGCAAAGCAUAUAUACGCCUAGAUUUCGAAAACAAAGAAGAGAUUUCUCAUGAAAGAGGGGAAAUAAGACACAAAGAGUAGAGCUGCUAUCAAAGGAAACAGACUGUAUACAUUGUCCCUUUGUUCUUAAGAGCCAAAACCUAAACGUCAAUCAUGUGUGUCCUUCUGGGGGACUGGCCAGAGGGGGAAAGGAUUCUUGCUUCACACUGCAGCAGGUGAUUUUCCUGAAAUUCCAAAUAAAGAGAACGAUGGUGCUUUUACAAGGGACCAAAACGAAAUUUAAAUUCCACUUAUUUCAUGGGCUUGGGAAAUGAUAUGAAGACUUUUAAAUAAGAUAUGGUUUGAGCCACUUAGGUUUAUGGAGACUUAUCCAAGUCGAAGCCCGCCGCAUUCAAAAUGAUGACAAAACGACCAAGAGCAGUUCAUCCGUAGGCUGAGUGAGUCACACUUUCUCAUCACAGAAGCUACUACGUGGGAGUCCAUCAGGCAUUUGGGGAAAUUAUACCUACCGCCUACCUUAAGAUUUAAUAAUGAAAUGAACUAAUUUCUGUUUUUUUUUUUUAAAUAUGCAUCAGAUAGGUGCAAUUUUGGUAUAAUCUCCCAAAGGAUUGUAAGGAUCUAUUUAAUCUCAUAUUAAAGGGGGGGGGUCUCUAAUUAGCUAGGAUAUAUUUUCCAUGAUUGACUCCUUAAUUGUCACAAAAUAUUACUAAAUCAAACCAACCUCACAAAACAAGAUUGAUUUUACCAAGCCUUGAAAAAAAAACCCACAGGCUUGCAAUCAUAUCCUUAACCACUAAAACUCCCAUACACAUCAAAUAGCCAAUGCCUGCAGAAAAUAAUACCUAUAGGUGGUUUGGUUGGUUUUUUAGAAUGAAUUCACUUUUUUUUUUUUUGAGUAUCAGAAUUAAAUAUUAUGGAACUUUGAGCUUACAGGACAAUGGGUUCAAGCCAGAGGUAGAGUAAUGAAGUCAGAUCCUUGUGCCUAACUGGGUUUCUCUAUUUCCAUAGAUUUGCAUCUAUCCAGGGUAAUUUGUAUAGAUAUUCCUGGAUUUUUGAAAUAAAUAACAAAAGAUAAAGAUACAGGAAAUGAGGGCUUAAAAUGCUACCAUAGUCUACAACCAUUAGCUAUACAACUGAAUUAGAAAGCCAUGAAAUAAAAAUUCUGGGUAUAUUAUAUUCAUAAUAACCGAGAAAAUGUUGAUUAAAAUGUCCUUUCAUUUUUCUUUUCUUUUUAAAUAUAAAUAUUUCCAAAAACUCGAGUUGCAUUUCCCCCCAUGCCUCUUUUCUUUAUUUGCAGUCCCAGUUGAUCUGCCCUGGAUAUUUUUAGAUCAUUAAAAAAAAAAAAAAUGAGAGAGAAAAUUUAAAGUGCUCGGCAGGCAGAGAGCUCACACUGUGACGUCUUACUUCAUCCACUUCUCUACGUAAUUUUUAAGUUAGGUUCCCGCUGCUUUCAUAAGUGUCUCGACUUUAGAAUCCCUGCCAACACGGACAGCCUAUUGACAAGGAAAUAUAACAAGAACAUUUCUUUUUAAUUUACUUCCUAAUAACUGGAUUCCAUGUCGAGGCUCGGAAAAAAAAAAGAAAAAGAAAAAGAAAGAGAAUGUGGACAGAAACAGUGUCCAGCAGUGAAACGAAGUAAGGGGAGAAAAAACGAUUUCUGGUGGUUCUAUGCUUUCUUUCGUUCUAUACGCCAAAGAUGUUGGGCAGGGAGAUAGGAAGACGGAAUUUGUCUCCACGUGUCCUUGGGAAAUUCCCCAACUUGUUUUCAUUAUGGUAAUAAUGAGGUUAUUUAUUUGCUCCGAAGGGGUGGGACAGAGAUUAUUAGUAUUCCCUGGAAGACACUGUAUACUUAUUACCCUAACAAUCUCUUCCCUGAUUUCCAAUGUCAAACAAAAACAAGAGGAAAACGGCAUUUUUUAUCCCCUGCUAUAUAGAAUACACUUCCAGUCCUUUCUAUUAAUCAAUCUGCAGUUGACAUGACAGCAAAUUAAAAGGAAGGUCAUUUGGGGAGCACACCCGCACACACUGAAGGGGGUUUCCCAUCUGCCAACACUUUGCGUUUCGCGGCUCAUUUAGUUGCAACUUGGGAGCGUAUACUCUAAGAAAUGCAGGGGUGCUAUCUCACAAGGGUUUAGCUUUUCCUUCACAAACUGAAGUGCACGUUCAAAAGGGGGGGGGGCGCACAAAGAGAAAGAUGUCUCAGAAAUCUUAUCUUGGAAGAGCCGGUGCCAUUCCGACGUGGGCAUGGGGCUCACUCUAGCACAGGCCGUCGUGAGAGGCUCCGGUGAGGACGUGGGGACUUUAGAUGGCCUGUGGCGCGGACCCUCAGCUGGCCCUGUGUCAGGAACCGGAGGAGAAAAUCCAGCUCCUUUUAUGGAGGAGGAAGGAACUGCAAGGUCACUUGCUCCUCUUUUCCUUUCACUUUGAUUUCUGUAAGGAGGGAGUGUGUGUGGCAGUCGUGACCAAGUACGGCAGUCCCAGUGCUACCACACCACCUGUGUGUGACCUUGCAGGUCCCCAAGCCCCGAGGCCAGGAGGGUGGAGCUGGGUUCUCUGCCGCGGGUCUCUCUGGAGGGUGAAAUCCAGGGUCAGCCGGCUGUGCUCCACCUGGAGCUCCCCGCCUCCUGCAGUCCUCCAGGUCACCGGCAGAGGUCGGUACCUGGAGACUGCCGGACUGAGAGACCCUGCGUCCCUGCUGGCUGUCAGCAGGUGCCGCUCCCAGGUCUUGAGACCGCCUCCCAUUCUUUACUGGGAAGCCCUCUAGUAACGCGACAGCAGGUGAAUUCCACCCUCCUGCCAAACUUCCACCAAGUCUCCCUCUCUCUUUGCAUCGCUCUGACCUCCUCCACCAGCCUGAAAACCUGUGCGUGUCAAGGGCUUGCCCGGCUGGGCUGUGCCCACUGGAAUCCUCUCCAUAGCUAAUUACAUCCCAACAAUCCCUUCCCAACGGCCCCUAGGUUAGUGUUUGAUUCAAUAGCUACAGGAUGAGAAUCUUGGAAGCCGUAUCUAGAACCACAGGUUAGGGCCCCCCGGGGGCCAAAGUUCACUUUCUGGCUGAUCAUUUCACCGUCUCUCUGUGCUCCUCCCCUUUGACCUUUGGUUCCAAAGAAACAUGAUUUCCUCUCUCUUCUCAUCCUGAAAAAAGUGUGCAUAGUCUUAAAGUUUGUUUUUCUUUAGGUGGGGGAGAGGAAGAACACGAUAAACUGCAUAUAGAAAAACCCAGUACAACUCUUCUAAUAAAGACCGUUGUUGGUAUUUCUUUGUAUAUAAAUACAAACUUAAGUAAAUGUA